rnacentral:lncRNA from 1 species
GUUACAUAGUUUUCAUAGGAAUGAAUAGCAAUUCUACGGUUCAAUGCUUCUCUAUAUGCCCUAGCCGUUCUACGAGUCAUAUCUGUUGCAUUUUCACAUACAUCAUACUUUUUCUUUACUUAAAGAAAACAUGCAAAUAUUUAAACUUUCAUAUCACGCAAUUCUCUUUAAGCCCUUAGCUUUUGCCCAAGUCCAUUACAUAUCUUUAAAUAACACAUCUCUAAAUCAUAU